ACGGCUCAGUAACACGUCGGUAACCUACCCUCGGGAGGGGGAUAACCCCGGGAAACUGGGGCUAAUUCCCCAUAGGCCUGAGGUACUGGAAGGUCCUCAGGCCGAAAGGGACUUAUGUCCGCCCGAGGAUGGGCCGGCGGCCGAUUAGGUAGUUGGUGGGGUAAUGGCCCACCAAGCCGAAGAUCGGUACGGGCUGUGAGAGCAGGAGCCCGGAGAUGGACACUGAGACACGGGUCCAGGCCCUACGGGGCGCAGUAGGCGCGAAACCUCCGCAAUGCGGGAAACCGCGACGGGGGGACCCCGAGUGCCGUGGCAACGCCACGGCUUUUCCGGAGUGUAAAAAGCUCCGGGAAUAAGGGCUGGGCAAGGCCGGUGGCAGCCGCCGCGGUAAUACCGGCGGCCCGAGUGGUGGCCGCUAUUAUUGGGCCUAAAGCGUCCGUAGCCGGGCCCGUAAGUCCCUGGCGAAAUCCCACGGCUCAACCGUGGGGCUUGCUGGGGAUACUGCGGGUCUUGGGACCGGGAGAGGCGGGGGGUACCCCUGGGGUAGGGGUGAAAUCCUAUAAUCCCAGGGGGACCGCCAGUGGCGAAGGCGCCCCGCUGGAACGGGUCCGACGGUGAGGGACGAAGGCCAGGGGAGCAAACCGGAUUAGAUACCCGGGUAGUCCUGGCUGUAAAGGAUGCGGGCUAGGUGUCGGGUGAGCCUCGAGCUCGCCCGGUGCCGUAGGGAAGCCGUUAAGCCCGCCGCCUGGGGAGUACGGCCGCAAGGCUGAAACUUAAAGGAAUUGGCGGGGGAG
rnacentral:rRNA from 1 species